CAUUGAUGAUAUUUUACAAUUAUCAUCCGCCUGGGAACUACGAGCAUCAGCUUAAAACCCAAAGGACUUGGCGGUGCUUUAGACCCACCUAGAGGAGCCUGUUCUAGAACCGAUAACCCCCGUUCAACCUCACCCUUCCUUGUUCUCCCCGCCUAUAUACCACCGUCGUCAGCUUACCCUGUGAAGGAUUAAUAGUAAGCAAAACUGGCAAAGCCCAAAACGUCAGGUCGAGGUGUAGCGUAUGGAAGGGAAAGAAAUGGGCUACAUUCACUAAUUCAGUGCACACGAAUGACACCCUGAAACACGUGUCUGAAGGAGGAUUUAGCAGUAAGCAGAAAAUAGAGUGUUCUGCUGAAACUGGCCCUGAAGCGCGC
rnacentral:rRNA from 1 species